rnacentral:tRNA from 2 species
AUUUAUAUAGUAUAUUUAAUACAAUGCAUUUUCAAUGCAUAAAUGGAUAAAAUAUCCUUUAAAUA